rnacentral:rRNA from 1 species
CCUACGGGAGGCAGCAGUGGGGGAUAUUGCGCAAUGGGCGAAAGCCUGACGCAGCGACGCCGCGUGGGUGAUGAAGGCCUUCGGGUCGUAAAGCCCUGUCGAGGGGAACGAAGCGGUCUCGACCUAACACGUCGAGUCCUUGACGGUACCCCUAAAGGAAGCACCGGCUAACUCCGUGCCAGCAGCCGCGGUAAUACGGAGGGUGCGAGCGUUGUUCGGAAUCACUGGGCGUAAAGGGCGUGUAGGCGGUCCGCUAAGUCUGAUGUGAAAGCCCGGGGCUCACCCCCGGAAGGGCAUUGGAAACUGGCGGACUCGAGUCCCGGAGAGGAAGGUGGAAUUCCUGGUGUAGCGGUGAAAUGCGUAGAUAUCAGGAGGAAUACCGGUGGCGAAGGCGGCCUUCUGGACGGUGACUGACGCUGAGACGCGAAAGCGUGGGGAGCAAACAGGAUUAGAUACCCUGGUAGUCCACGCUGUAAACGAUGAGCACUAGGUGUCGUGGGUAUUGACCCCCGCGGUGCCGACGCUAACGCAUUAAGUGCUCCGCCUGGGGACUACGGCCGCAAGGUUAAAACUCAAAGGAAUUGACGG